rnacentral:misc_RNA from 1 species
GUGAGUCAUCGAAUCUUUGAACGCAUCUUGCGCUCUUUGGUAUUCCGAAGAGCAUGCCUGUUUGAGUGUCAUGAAACUCUCAACUCCACAAGUUUUGUAAUGAGAUUUGUGUGGGCUUGGAUCUUGAGUGUUGCAGGUGUUACAACCAGCUCAUUCGAAAUACAUUAGCGAUCACGCAUUUGGCGUUGGUUUGACUUGAAGUGAUAGUAAUACAUUUCCUUCAAGGACACUUCCCUUUAAACGGACAGUGACCACACCCUUUGCCAGAACGCUCAUAAAACCCCAAAUUACAUCAUGAUU